AGACGGAGGGAGCAAGCGUUGCUCGGAAUCACUGGGCGUAAAGGGCGUGUAGGCGGGACAGCAAGUCGGGUGUGAAAGCCCUGGGCUCAACCCAGGAAGGGCAUUCGAUACUACUGUUCUUGAGUAUGACAGAGGAAAGCGGAAUUCCCGGUGUAGCGGUGAAAUGCGUAGAUAUCGGGAAGAACACCUGUGGCGAAGGCGGCUUUCUGGGUCACAACUGACGCUGAGGCGCGAAAGCUAGGGGAGCGAACGGGAUUAGAAACCCGUGUAGUCC
rnacentral:rRNA from 1 species